GACGUAGGAGGCGAGCGUUGUCCGGAUUCAUUGGGCGUAAAGAGCGCGCAGGCGGCUUGGUAAGUCGGAUGUGAAAUCCCGAGGCUCAACCUCGGGUCUGCAUCCGAUACUGCCCGGCUAGAGGUAGGUAGGGGAGAUCGGAAUUCCUGGUGUAGCGGUGAAAUGCGCAGAUAUCAGGAGGAACACCGGUGGCGAAGGCGGAUCUCUGGGCCGAUACUGACGCUGAGGCGCGAAAGCCAGGGGAGCGAACGGG
rnacentral:rRNA from 1 species